rnacentral:rRNA from 1 species
GCAGCAGCCGCGGUAAUACGGAGGGUGCAAGCGUUAAUCGGAAUUACUGGGCGUAAAGCGCACGCAGGCGGUUUGUUAAGUCAGAUGUGAAAUCCCCGGGCUCAACCUGGGAACUGCAUCUGAUACUGGCAAGCUUGAGUCUCGUAGAGGGGGGUAGAAUUCCAGGUGUAGCGGUGAAAUGCGUAGAGAUCUGGAGGAAUACCGGUGGCGAAGGCGGCCCCCUGGACGAAGACUGACGCUCAGGUGCGAAAGCGUGGGGAGCAAACAGGAUUAGAUACCCCUGUAGUCCCUGUCUCUUAUAU